rnacentral:rRNA from 1 species
GAUGAACGCUGGCGGCGUGCCUAAUACAUGCAAGUCGAACGAGUUCUCGUUGAUGAUCGGUGCUUGCACCGAGAUUCAACAUGGAACGAGUGGCGGACGGGUGAGUAACACGUGGGUAACCUGCCCUUAAGUGGGGGAUAACAUUUGGAAACAGAUGCUAAUACCGCAUAGAUCCAAGAACCGCAUGGUUCUUGGCUGAAAGAUGGCGUAAGCUAUCGCUUUUGGAUGGACCCGCGGCGUAUUAGCUAGUUGGUGAGGUAAUGGCUCACCAAGGCGAUGAUACGUAGCCGAACUGAGAGGUUGAUCGGCCACAUUGGGACUGAGACACGGCCCAAACUCCUACGGGAGGCAGCAGUAGGGAAUCUUCCACAAUGGACGCAAGUCUGAUGGAGCAACGCCGCGUGAGUGAAGAAGGCUUUCGGGUCGUAAAACUCUGUUGUUGGAGAAGAAUGGUCGGCAGAGUAACUGUUGUCGGCGUGACGGUAUCCAACCAGAAAGCCACGGCUAACUACGUGCCAGCAGCCGCGGUAAUACGUAGGUGGCAAGCGUUAUCCGGAUUUAUUGGGCGUAAAGCGAGCGCAGGCGGUUUUUUAAGUCUGAUGUGAAAGCCCUCGGCUUAACCGAGGAAGCGCAUCGGAAACUGGGAAACUUGAGUGCAGAAGAGGACAGUGGAACUCCAUGUGUAGCGGUGAAGUGCGUAGAUAUAUGGAAGAACACCAGUGGCGAAGGCGGCUGUCUGGUCUGUAACUGACGCUGAGGCUCGAAAGCAUGGGUAGCGAACAGGAUUAGAUACCCUGGUAGUCCAUGCCGUAAACGAUGAAUGCUAGGUGUUGGAGGGUUUCCGCCCUUCAGUGCCGCAGCUAACGCAUUAAGCAUUCCGCCUGGGGAGUACGACCGCAAGGUUGAAACUCAAAGGAAUUGACGGGGGCCCGCACAAGCGGUGGAGCAUGUGGUUUAAUUCGAAGCAACGCGAAGAACCUUACCAGGUCUUGACAUCUUUUGAUCACCUGAGAGAUCAGGUUUCCCCUUCGGGGGCAAAAUGACAGGUGGUGCAUGGUUGUCGUCAGCUCGUGUCGUGAGAUGUUGGGUUAAGUCCCGCAACGAGCGCAACCCUUAUGACUAGUUGCCAGCAUUUAGUUGGGCACUCUAGUAAGACUGCCGGUGACAAACCGGAGGAAGGUGGGGAUGACGUCAAAUCAUCAUGCCCCUUAUGACCUGGGCUACACACGUGCUACAAUGGAUGGUACAACGAGUUGCGAGACCGCGAGGUCAAGCUAAUCUCUUAAAGCCAUUCUCAGUUCGGACUGUAGGCUGCAACUCGCCUACACGAAGUCGGAAUCGCUAGUAAUCGCGGAUCAGCACGCCGCGGUGAAUACGUUCCCGGGCCUUGUACACACCGCCCGUCACACCAUGAGAGUUUGUAACACCCGAAGCCGGUGGCGUAACCCUUUUAGGGAGCGAGCCGUCUAAGGUGGGACAAAUGAUUAGGGUG